rnacentral:rRNA from 1 species
UGGAGGCAGCAGUGAGGAAUAUUGGUCAAUGGACGAAAGUCUGAACCAGCCAUGCCGCGUGGAGGAUGAAGGUCCUCUGGAUUGUAAACUUCUUUUAUAUGGGACGAAAAAGGACUUUUCUAAGUCAACUGACGGUACCAUAUGAAUAAGCACCGGCUAACUCCGUGCCAGCAGCCGCGGUAAUACGGAGGGUGCAAGCGUUAUCCGGAUUCACUGGGUUUAAAGGGUGCGUAGGUGGGUCGGUAAGUCAGUGGUGAAAUCCCCGAGCUUAACUUGGGAACUGCCAUUGAUACUAUCGAUCUUGAAUACUGUGGAGGUCAGCGGAAUAUGUCAUGUAGCGGUGAAAUGCUUAGAUAUGACAUAGAACACCAAUUGCGAAGGCAGCUGGCUACACAAAUAUUGACACUGAGGCACGAAAGCGUGGGGAUCAAACAGGAUUAGAUACCCCGGUAGC